rnacentral:ncRNA from 1 species
GAUCCUCUCAGGUUCUGGCACGGCCCUCGGAAUAGCCAGAAUCCUUUAGCCGACCGGAAUGCGGUCGGCUUUUUUUU